rnacentral:rRNA from 1 species
ACGGGAGGCAGCAGUGGGGAAUAUUGGACAAUGGGGGAAACCCUGAUCCAGCGACGCCGCGUGAGUGAAGAAGUAUUUCGGUAUGUAAAGCUCUAUCAGCAAGGAAGAAAAUGACGGUACUUGACUAAGAAGCUCCGGCUAAAUACGUGCCAGCAGCCGCGGUAAUACGUAUGGAGCAAGCGUUAUCCGGAUUUACUGGGUGUAAAGGGAGCGUAGACGGUUUGGCAAGUCUGAAGUGAAAGCCCGGGGCUCAACCCCGGUAUUGCUUUGGAAACUGUUGAACUAGAGUGCCGGAGGGGUAAGCGGAAUUCCUAGUGUAGCGGUGAAAUGCGUAGAUAUUAGGAGGAACACCAGUGGCGAAGGCGGCUUACUGGACGGUAACUGACGUUGAGGCUCGAAAGCGUGGGGAGCAAACAGGAUUAGAUACCCUGGUA